rnacentral:rRNA from 1 species
UUGGAGGGCAAGUCUGGUGCCAGCAGCCGCGGUAAUUCCAGCUCCAAUAGCGUAUAUUAAAGUUGUUGCAGUUAAAAAGCUCGUAGUUGAAUUUCGGAACUUUUUUAUCGGUUGAAUCAACAGGUUCGUACUGAUUUUAAGAAUUUCUACCUUCUGGAGAACCUUAAUGUCAUUAAUUUGGUGUUUUGGGAAACCAGGACUGUUACCUUGAAAAAAUUAGAGUGUUUAAAGCAGGCUUAUGUCUGAAUAUAUUAGCAUGGAAUAAUGAAAUAGGACGGCAUGGUUCUAUUUUGUUGGUUUCUAGGAUCACCGUAAUGAUUAAUAGGGAUAGUUGGGGGCAUUAGUAUUCAAUUGUCAGAGGUGAAAUUCUUGGAUUUAUUGAAGACUAACUUCUGCGGAAGCAUUUGCCAAGGAUGUUUUCAUUAAUCAAGAACGAAAGUUAGGGGAUCGAAGACGAUCAGAUACCGUCGUAGUCUUAACCAUAAACUAUGCCGACUAGGAAUCGGACGAAGUUAAUUUUUUAAUGACUCGUUCGGCGCCUUACGGGAAACCAAAGUGUUUGGGUUC